UACAGAGGGUGCGAGCGUUGUCCGGAAUCACUGGGCAUAAAGGGCGCGUAGGUGGCGGGACAAGCGUGCGGUGAAAGCUCGGGGCUCAACCCCGAGUCGGCCGUGCGAACUGUUUUGCUUGAGCACUGUAGAGGCAGGCGGAAUUCCACGUGUAGCGGUGAAAUGCGUAGAGAUGUGGAGGAACACCAGUGGCGAAGGCGGCUUUCUGGUCUGUAACUGACGCUGAGGCGCGAAAGCGUGGGGAGCAAACAGG
rnacentral:rRNA from 1 species